CCGUGCCUGGUGCCUGUCAGCUGGGAGCCACAUCCCCGGCAGCACGGCUGCUUUGUUUGCACAGCACCGAGGGGAGGGCUGGCGUUCCCAGGUACUCAUCCCAGCACAGCACCGAGGGGAGGGCUGGCAUCCCCAGGUACUCAUCCCAGCACAGCACGGAGGGGAGGGCUGGCAUCCCCAGGUACUCAGCACAGCACAGCACCGAGGGGAGGGCUGGCAUUCCCAGGUACUCAUCCCAGCACAGCACCGAGGGGAGGGCUGGCGUUCCCAGGUACUCAUCCCAGCACAGCACCGAGGGGAGGGCUGGUGUUCCCAGGUACUCAUCCCAGCACAGCACCGAGGGGAGGGCUGCUGUUCCCAGGUACUCAUCCCAGCACAGCACCGAGGGGAGGGCUGGCGUUCCCAGGUACUCAUCCCAGCACAGCACCGAGGGGAGGGCUGGCAUUCCCGGGUACUCAUCCCAGCACAGCACCGAGGGGAGGGCUGGCAUCCCCAGGUACUCAUCCCAGCACAGCACCGAGGGGAGGGCUGGUGUUCCCAGGUCAGCGUGAGAUGAUGCAAGAACAAGGCUGAACUUCCAGCCCAUUAGGCUCUGGAGCCAGGCGGCAGACAGGGUGAUGUGGUGUGUCUGCAUACCUCCCCCAGGCACUGGAGAAGAGUGUAUAUUGCUGUCCUGGCAUCCUGGCUCCUUUUCCAGCCUAUCAAUUGUUCCAGGGUAUUUGCUGGAAGCACUUGAGGAUAAAGACACACCUGCACCCAAGUCCCUGCACUCCUGUUUGUGCAAGACUGACUACAGCCCCAGCAAGGUCAGAGUGCUGGUGCUUCCAUUACCCACAGCUGUCACUUUAUGGUUCUGAGGUCAAAAAUGAAGCAGGAAAAAAGGUGCUAGAAAACCCAACUAAAUUAAUAAUAAUUCUGGUCUCUUUAUAAAGAAAUAGA